ACGACACGUAAACAAGCGGAUGACACAAGUGUGAUCCAUCGUACAGUCAUGCGUAUGAUGGAUCCUCUCCUUGAUCAGGGGUACACUGUUUACACAGAUCAAUUCUACACUUCAGGACCUCUGUUCAAGGAGCUUUACAAUCGGGGUACGAUGGCUUGUGGUACAGUCCAGAAAAACAGGAAGGGUGUUCCUCCAGAAAUGAAAACACCAAGAGUCUUUGGCAAAUCACCACGGGUUCAUUUCGCUAUCACCGCGAUGAAGAGCUAUUAGUUAUUCAGUGGGUGGAUCGAAGCGUGGUGACCGUCAUGAGCACCCUUCAUUCUGGACACCGUUAUACUCCCUGCGACAGAUUUACCAAGGAUCGAGCAAAGUAUGACGGGCACCACAAGAUCACGAUUUCCAGACCUGAGGCUAUCGGCGACUAUAAUGUGCACAUGGGCGGAGUAGACAAAUCGGAUCAGAUGAUCAAGUACUACGAAGUCCUGCACAAGAGCCUCAAGUACUGGAAGAAGAUCUUUCUGCACAUGAUUGACUUAGCCGUAUUCAACAGCUACAUCAUGUUUACUGCCCUUCAAAAAACAACAUCCUCAAGAUCCACUUCUCAAGAGGAAAGGGCAGUAUACGCAGAAAGUCUUCAGGUGUGAGCUCAUGCGAGGGUUGACUGGAAUCGACGUUGAUGAACCUGUACCACGAUAUUGUGAAACAAGCAAAAGGGUGGUACAGGUUCCGGCCUCAAGUCGAUGAUGAACACCAAAGAGACAUACAAGCACUGCAACAAACUAUUUUACAAAAUCAAAUGCAACAUCACCAAAACAUACAACAAAUGCAGCAACAAAUGCAUCAACAACAAAUGCAACAUCAACAAGACGUACAAACAUUACAACAACAUAUGCAUCAACAACAAAUGCAACAUCAACAAGACAUGCAACAACAACAACAAAUGCAUCAACAACAAAUGCAACAACAACAACAACAACAAUUGCAACAGCAGCAACAACAACAACAAUUGCAACAACAACAAUUGCAACAACAACAACAACAACAACAAUUGCAACAACAACAGCCAAACCCUCGGCAUAGCUCACACAUCCCGAUUGUAACAGAGCGGCUAGUACGUUGCAUUGUUUGCUACCAUGAAGGUAGAAAAAACAACCGAACACGUUAUCGGUGUCAACAAUGCAACGUACCCCUCUGUGUGUCAUCUGCUCAGAGACACUGCUUUGCAACUUACCAUGCGUGAAUGGAGGUGUUUUGUGAGCUUUCACUGUUGACUGUAAAUACAUUGUAUAUAUAUUUGCAUAUAUAUUUAUAUAUCUGUUUUAUAUUUAUUGUAUAUAUGACAAGUAGAUUUACUUUUUAGAUGACAUAUCACUAAAAAGUUUGUAUAUAGGGCAUAGAAAUUUUUACAGGUAUACAGAUAUAAUUGGAAUAGAUGUGUUGUGUUGAGUUGAA